rnacentral:lncRNA from 1 species
UUGGUGGUGUGUGAAGGUUGUUCCAGAGACUUGGAGAAUUGAAGUCUAGGCUCAGAAGGAGUUUAGCUCAGGGUUAGGUUAUCCUGAUUAAAUCUAGACUCAGAGGAGUUUAGUUAAGGGUAGAGAUUAUCCUUAAGGUUUCACGUUUAUAGAAGGGAGCGGUAAAUCAAGAGGGGUGUGCUUGUUUUACGUGUUUGCGAAUUGGUUGUAAUUUGCUUUCUUGUUCUAGUGAAAUCGAAAUCUGGACGUGGUCCCGAGGAGUAGGAAAAAUCGAACCUCGUUAACAAAUUUCUUGUCUCUUUACUUUCCGCACUUUAUUGUUACCUCAUCCGCACUUACAAGAUUGGCUGUAUUCUGGAUUGCAGGUAUUGAAGUCUACAUGACUUAUCGAUAUGAAACAGAACCAACCCUACAGGGGUACAACUCUCAAGUUGAUGCCUGCUCUUUUAUCA